rnacentral:rRNA from 1 species
AAUCAACGCUGGCGGCGUGCCUCAGACAUGCAAGUCGAACGAUUAAACUUUCCUUCGGGAAAGAUAUAAAGUGGCGCACGGGUGAGUAACACGUAGGUAAUGUACCUUUGGGUGGGGAAUAACUUAGGGAAACUUAAGCUAAUACCGCAUAAUGCAGCGGCUCCUUCGGGAGACAGUUGUUAAAGAUUUAUCGCCUAAAGAGCAGCCUGCGGCAGAUUAGCUAGUUGGUAAGGUAACGGCUACCAAGGCUACGAUCUGUAUCCGACCUGAGAGGGUGGUCGGACACACUGACACUGAAUAACGGGUCAGACUCCUACGGGAGGCAGCAGUCGGGAAUUUUGGGCAAUGGGCGAAAGCCUGACCCAGCAACGCCGCGUGAAGGAUGAAGUCUUUCGGGA